rnacentral:rRNA from 1 species
GAGUUUGAUCAUGGCUCAGGAUGAACGCUGGCGGCGUGCUUAACACAUGCAAGUCGAACGAACCUUCGGGUUAGUGGCGGACGGGUGAGUAACGCGUGAGAAUCUGCCCUCAGGAGGGGGAUAACAGCUGGAAACGGCUGCUAAUACCCCAUAUGCCGCGAGGUGAAAUGAAUUUCGCCUGAGGAUGAGCUCGCGUCUGAUUAGCUAGUUGGUGUAGGUAAUGGCUCACCAAGGCAUCGAUCAGUAGCUGGUCUGAGAGGAUGAUCAGCCACACUGGGACUGAGACACGGCCCAGACUCCUACGGGAGGCAGCAGUGGGGAAUCUUCCGCAAUGGGCGAAAGCCUGACGGAGCAACGCCGCGUGAGGGAUGAAGGCCUCUGGGCUGUAAACCUCUUUUAUCAAGGAAGAAGAUCUGACGGUACUUGAUGAAUAAGCCACGGCUAAUUCCGUGCCAGCAGCCGCGGUAAUACGGGAGUGGCAAGCGUUAUCCGGAAUUAUUGGGCGUAAAGCGUCCGCAGGCGGCCCUUCAAGUCUGCUGUUAAAAAGUGGAGCUUAACUCCAUCAUGGCAGUGGAAACUGAGGGGCUUGAGUGUGGUAGGGGCAGAGGGAAUUCCCGGUGUAGCGGUGAAAUGCGUAGAUAUCGGGAAGAACACCAGUGGCGAAGGCGCUCUGCUGGGCCAUCACUGACGCUCAUGGACGAAAGCCAGGGGAGCGAAAGGGAUUAGAUACCCCUGUAGUCCUGGCCGUAAACGAUGAACACUAGGUGUCGGGGGAAUCGACCCCCUCGGUGUCGUAGCCAACGCGUUAAGUGUUCCGCCUGGGGAGUACGCACGCAAGUGUGAAACUCAAAGGAAUUGACGGGGGCCCGCACAAGCGGUGGAGUAUGUGGUUUAAUUCGAUGCAACGCGAAGAACCUUACCAGGGUUUGACAUCCUGCGAAUCUCUUGGAAACGAGAGAGUGCCUUCGGGAGCGCAGUGACAGGUGGUGCAUGGCUGUCGUCAGCUCGUGUCGUGAGAUGUUGGGUUAAGUCCCGCAACGAGCGCAACCCACGUCUUUAGUUGCCAGCAUUUAGUUGGGCACUCUAGAGAGACCGCCGGUGAUAAACCGGAGGAAGGUGUGGAUGACGUCAAGUCAUCAUGCCCCUUACAUCCUGGGCUACACACGUACUACAAUGCUACGGACAAAGGGCAGCAAGUUCGCGAGGACAAGCAAAUCCCAUAAACCGUGGCUCAGUUCAGAUCGUAGGCUGCAACUCGCCUACGUGAAGGAGGAAUCGCUAGUAAUCGCAGGUCAGCAUACUGCGGUGAAUACGUUCCCGGGCCUUGUACACACCGCCCGUCACACCAUGGAAGUUGGCCACGCCCGAAGCCGUUACUCCAACCCUUGUGGAGGAGGACGUCGAAGGUGGGGCUGAUGACUGGGGUGAAGUCGUAACAAGGUAACC